rnacentral:rRNA from 1 species
AGAGUUUGAUCAUGGCUCAGAUUGAACGCUGGCGGCAGGCCUAACACAUGCAAGUCGAGCGGUAGAGAGAAGCUUGCUUCUCUUGAGAGCGGCGGACGGGUGAGUAAAGCCUAGGAAUCUGCCUGGUAGUGGGGGAUAACGUUCGGAAACGGACGCUAAUACCGCAUACGUCCUACGGGAGAAAGCAGGGGACCUUCGGGCCUUGCGCUAUCAGAUGAGCCUAGGUCGGAUUAGCUAGUUGGUGAGGUAAUGGCUCACCAAGGCGACGAUCCGUAACUGGUCUGAGAGGAUGAUCAGUCACACUGGAACUGAGACACGGUCCAGACUCCUACGGGAGGCAGCAGUGGGGAAUAUUGGACAAUGGGCGAAAGCCUGAUCCAGCCAUGCCGCGUGUGUGAAGAAGGUCUUCGGAUUGUAAAGCACUUUAAGUUGGGAGGAAGGGCAGUUACCUAAUACGUGAUUGUUUUGACGUUACCGACAGAAUAAGCACCGGCUAACUCUGUGCCAGCAGCCGCGGUAAUACAGAGGGUGCAAGCGUUAAUCGGAAUUACUGGGCGUAAAGCGCGCGUAGGUGGUUUGUUAAGUUGGAUGUGAAAUCCCCGGGCUCAACCUGGGAACUGCAUUCAAAACUGACUGACUAGAGUGUGGUAGAGGGUGGUGGAAUUUCCUGUGUAGCGGUGAAAUGCGUAGAUAUAGGAAGGAACACCAGUGGCGAAGGCGACCACCUGGACCAACACUGACACUGAGGUGCGAAAGCGUGGGA